CAUAUGAAAAUUCUAAUUAAUUAUCAUUCUGACCAAAUGAAUGCAUGCUUGUCUGAAGAAAUUAUACAAAAUAUGUAUAUAAAUAAAUACAAGAGAUCUGUCCUGCCAACAGUUGUCUUCAAUUACUCUUUGAAGAAUCUAAAUUAAUGAACUACAACAUUUAAUUUUCCUCUGUGCUUAAUAAAAUACUUUUGAAUUGAAUUUGAAUUUUUCUUUUUAUAUUAUAUAUUUUUUUGGUUACCAUAGUGGCGGCUUUUAGCUCUCUUAAUAACCGGAGGAGUCACACAUAUUGACGGAUAGAUUUGGUAAAAAUUUGAUGAGUUAAUUAAUUAUUGAAUCAUUUAAAAAGAAAAAUUUAACUAUUAACUAUUUAACAGUUUCCAUGGUGGUGUGUUUGACUGCAAUGGCUUUCAGCGAUCUCACCAAUAAGACAAGAUCCAGAUAUUGUUGAGCGGAUUUGCUUAAAAAUAGGACAUCAAUGUCACAUAGUGAGUGUGUUACAGGCCCAGUCUUUCCCUAGGGGGCGGUAGAGAGCAACGUGUAGGUGCUGGGAGGAAGAAGGAGAGCAGAGCGAGAGCGAAGACCUUGUGUAGAGCGGAGUGUGUUAGCUUUAGAGAUGCCAGCUGUCCAGUACGUUGUACUUGUUCAUCCUGCCAAAAAGAGGAAUAAAGUUCUAGAAGCUUUCAUCUGCCUCCUCCUUGCUUUUGCCACCAGCGGACCAGAACCUAUACAAGCUUGUUACCAGCGAAUGAGCCAAAAUAGACACCAGCCUGUUCUGGGCUUACCAACACUGGGGGCUCGCGCCGGGGUCGCUCUGCUAAAAAACAAAACAACACAACAGUCACUAAUCAAACUUCUAAAAAGAGCAACAAGAGUAAUUAACAAGGCUAAGGACCAGGAUCAGACUAACCCAUUAUUUAUCCAAAUAUUUUGCUCAUAUACACAAUUUUGUACUGAACUACAAAAUACUCCUGAAAUAAAUAAAGCCAAUACUGAGCACAAUUUCAUUCAUAAAUAUAAAAACAAUUCUAAGUACUGCAUUGCAACUGAAAAUUGCCCAUUGCUAAUCACUAAGCAUAAUAGUUUGCAUUGCAAAUUGCCAUCUGAAUAAAUGUGCCACCUUAUAGCAGCCAUUACAUAAUAUAUGUAAUAUGUAUAUAUAUAGCGACGUCGCGUUCAUAGCGACGUCGCUUUUUGAUCAUUCGAUGUCGGCUCUUCCUAUCAUUGUGAAGCAGAAUUCACCAAGCGUUGGAUUGUUCACCCACUAAUAGGGAACGUGAGCUGGGUUUAGACCGUCGUGAGACAGGUUAGUUUUACCCUACAGAUGAUGUGUUGUUGCAAUAGUAAUCCUGCUCAGUAUGAGAGGAACCGCAGGUUCAGACAUUUGAAGAGCCCAGGUCUGAACUCCACUCA